UACGAAGGGGGCUAGCGUUGUUCGGAAUCACUGGGCGUAAAGGGUGCGCAGGCGGGCAUUUAAGUCAGGGGUGAAAUCCCGAGGCUCAACCUCGGAACGGCCUUUGAUACUGGAUGUCUUGAGUCCGGAAGAGGUGAGUGGAACUGCGAGUGUAGAGGUGAAAUUCGUAGAUAUUCGCAAGAACACCGGUGGCGAAGGCGGCUCACUGGUCCGGAACUGACGCUGAGGCACGACAGCGUGGGGAGCAAACAGG
rnacentral:rRNA from 1 species